UUUAACCAUUCGCACGGGUAUGAGAAGUAGAGUGUAAACACUCAAAAAGACAAGCUAACUUGAAUUUGGAAAUCCUCUAGGUUUUCCCAAGUUUCUGAAUUGCUUCAAGGCAGGGGGCAGGGCGUGGAGACACAGUUCCUUUUGCAAAGCUGAGAGGAGAGUGUAAUGGCCUCAUGCCCUUAGACAGAAAGUCAAGGCCGGAGAGCAGCUUGACCUAGCCCCUUCCCCUCUGGCCAGUCCACAGUAGAUGCAAAACACGAUUGCUUGGCCUCAAUUAUCAAUAGAAUUUAAGGGAAAAAUCAAAGUUACACAUCCCUCUCCACAUCAGUUUCUUGGAAUCUGCUACUCACGACUGCCCCUCCUCUCCCCACACAUCCCUACCAAAGUCACAGGAGUCAUCCUCAAAUGUCAGGGUCCUGGGGUGAAUGUACUCCAUGCCUCUCUGAGUUUGUCUCCACUCACUCUUCAUCUUCCGACUGUUUCUUUUCUGCACUAGAGAUGAUCCCUGCCCUCAGCUCCCUUCAUGGAGGCAGUUCAGAUACUUGGCCCUACUUGUGAUGAGCACACACACGGAAUUCUCAACUGACAGUGGCAUCCUCAGAAGAGCCGGUGCCCACUAUUUUGUUUUAUUUUGCUGAAAGAAGUUGCUCUGACUACACGUCAUAAACCCAUAGAUGUAAAUACUUUCCCUCUCAACAUACAAAUUUUGCCUUAUUUUUUUUUUUUCCCCCCUCCACAGGGGUGUUUGUGAUAGGAAAGGAAAGAGAGGGCUUAGACUUCAGGUCAAAUGUUACAUUUUCUUAGGAGCAUUUUUAUACUCAUUAUGUGUUUUAAUAGGGCAAUAAAUCUGCUUUGGGUUGCAGGAUCACUCAGUGUGCUGUUAGAAAGCAUUGACCAAUUAUUUGUUUUUAAUACCAAUGCUGUGCGAUGAGUUAUGGAAACCUAGGACAAUGGUUGAGCAGUGAAGCGCUGAGCGGCGUUGUAUUCACAAGGUCACACCCGUUUCCAUGUUAGUCUCGAUUUGUUGUGGUAUGUUCUGCAUUUAUUACAUAAUCAUUGUGGGCUCAUUUUAGAUUUGCUAUCUGAACCAAGUGACAAGUAUUUUUCAAUACAAUAAAGUUGAAAACCUUGUCUUCCACUUGCUUUGGUAGUUGUCUUCAUAUCUCCCUGUGCUUAUUGUCCUGUCUGAAUCAGCCUAUCUGUCACUCACUUAGACCUAUCCCUUCCCCCUUUUUCUAUUUUCACUACACUUUUGACCUUAGCUAUUGUUUGAGUGUGACUCAGUUUCCCUGUUCAAGUUAGCUUGAUGGUUUAUUACGUAAGGAGGGUGCCUAAGACAAUCAUCAGGUAAAAAUAAAAUAAAAUAAAAAAGAUCAGUAGAGUAGAAAAUCUUCCACGAGCAGAGGGAGUUCUUCCUUAACAAUGAAAAAAAA